AGUUCCGGAGGGCUAGAGGGGGAGGGAGAAGCCUGGCUUCCUGUCCCGCCUUCUCCUCCGCCCCUCCCUACGAAGAGGCCUGGAGGAUCUUUCCGUACUGUUUGGGAUCACAGACUUUUUUGCCCCUCUCCCUCCCCCCCGCAAGAGGGCCAAGUGCUCACAACUUGAAUAAGAAAUAAAUAAACAGGACCAAAUAACAACACAGUACUGUAAAGCACCAUGAAGCAAGUUGUAUUGGAGCAACAGGCUAAUUAAAAGCAGGUAAAGAGAAUAUUGGGGGAAAGUUAUUUGCUGUAAGAGCUCUUUGAUAGUAGGAUAGCCUCCUUCAGAGAGUGGUGGGAUUCUCUGUCUUUGGCAGUCUGUAUACAGGAGUUGGAUAACUGUUCUUCAGGAAUGCUUUAGUUGUGUAUUCCUGCAUGGCAGGGAGCUGGACUGGACUGCCCCUGGGGUGCCUUCCAACUAUAAGAUUAUAUGAUUCUAGUUUAAGAAGUAAAAGGAAACAAAGGACAGCAUUCCCUCCUGUAAGGAAAUAACGUAGCACUUUUUAAACUAUCUGAAAGAAAGAAGUUGGUCUCAAGGGUGCUACAAGAUCCCUUUACAUACUGAUUUUACAGACUAACACGGCUAUACCUUUGAAGCAUUCCUUCCCUGUCCAGGUUAAAAGUCCCUUCUUCAAAAACCAGUCAGUUGCCAAAUGUCUUUCUGAAUUUUUUUGGCAAAUUAACAACAAAAGUUGAGUUCCACUGCCUGGGAGGACCCCGUCUCUUAUUAUUGCAAAAAGAGUAUCACCACAAAUGCUCGUGUAUAAGUUGACCUCAUGUAUAAGUCGAGGGCAGGUUUUAGAGUUUAGAUUUUGAUAUGACCUAUGGAUAAGUCGAGGGUCAAACCCUGGGGCUUGUAACAAAGGAUCUAAACAGAGGAGGGAAACACCACUUCACUCCCUCCUUCUCCCUCUCUGGACCUCUCCCAAGGGCCACAGUCUGGGCAUGCAAAAUGUGGACACAAACCUCCAAUUUCCCUCCCUUCCCCACAACUUUCCCCAAGUCUGAUGGCUUGCAAAAAAGGGGACAUAGACCUCCGAUUUCCAUUCCUUCCCCACAACUUUUCCCAAAGCAGAUGGCUUCCAAAAUGGGGAACACAGACCUCUGAUUUCUCUCCUCUCUCUCCUUCCUCCGUUCUCCACAGCUUUCCCAAGGCUCACAGAGAAGUACUGUAUUACUGUAUUAACCCAUAUACACGUCUACCUAGGAUUUUGGAGGCCAUAUUUGGGCUUAAUUUUUUCAACUUAUUAACGAGUAUAUUCGGUAUUAUUAUUGCUAGAGUUCAAAGAUAGAGCCAUGUUAGUCUGUAGAAUCGGUACAUAGAGAGUGCUACCCUGUAGCACCUUUGAGAUUAACUGAAAUAAAGAAGUUGGCAGCAUGAACUUUCAUAGACUUCAGUCUACUUCCUCAGAUGCAUAUUAUUGUUGUUAGCAUUAUUAUAUAGUAAAAGAGUGAUACUGUAAUACUAUGCAUUUUUUGCUUGUUUAGCGACUCCUUCUUGAGUCAUAAGCCCUACCCUCUGAGCAAAACAGGAGUAGCUUUUGCAGGCAUGUAAACUCCCAGGCUGGACAAUGGAAGGUAUCAGGAUCAGGGAAACAUCUAGGAGGAAGCCUGAGACACCUUUUUCCAAUGUCAGACUUGAAUUCUCACCUUCAGUGCCUAAGCCCCAGCCAUGAAUAUGUUGCAGGUUUUGGACAGUCAAAUAAGUUUAGGAGGAGAUACAGCUCCAAGGAUCUUGAGAAAAGUGGUUCAUUAUCUUUACUUGUCCUGUUUCUUCCCUGUUGCUAAUCCCUCUUCCUCCCUUUUCUUGCCUGAGCUCCUCAUUCCUGUUUCAGUUCAUCAGAGUUGACUGUGGAUUCCUUCCCUGAAUCAGAUAAGACUAGUUUGGGACGAGUGUGCGAGAGAGCGAUGGAGGCGCCACCGCACUGGGGUAUAGAGUCCUUUGAGGAGAUGGCUGUGCAUUCACUGCCUUCCAUGAGCCGGACUUGGUGCUAUUCGAUCCAGGGCAGAGGGCUCGCAGGCCGAGAUUACAG